CCUACGGGAGGCUGCAGUGAGGAAUAUUGGUCAAUGGACGCAAGUCUGAACCAGCCAUGCCGCGUGCAGGAAGACGGCUCUAUGAGUUGUAAACUGCUUUUGUACGAGGGUAAACGCGGAUACGCGUAUCUGUCUGAAAGUAUCGUACGAAUAAGGAUCGGCUAACUCCGUGCCAGCAGCCGCGGUAAUACGGAGGAUUCAAGCGUUAUCCGGAUUUAUUGGGUUUAAAGGGUGCGUAGGCGGUCGGAUAAGUUAGAGGUGAAAUCCCGAGGCUCAACCUCGCUCCGCCGUUGAAACUGGCGUUCUUGAGUGGGCGAGAAGUAUGCGGAAUGCGUGGUGUAGCGGUGAAAUGCAUAGAUAUCACGCAGAACUCCGAUUGCGAAGGCAGCAUACCAGCGCCCAACUGACGCUGAAGCACGAAAGCGUGGGUAUCGAACAGGAUUAGAUACCCUUGUAGUC
rnacentral:rRNA from 1 species